rnacentral:rRNA from 1 species
CUUGACUGUAUCCUGGAAUUGGGUUCGGGCUUUUCUUGCGCAGCCUAGGUGGGAGGCUAAGAAGAUUUCCUUCCGGGGAAGUUGGAGCCAUCAUUGAGAGACCACUCUGGAGAGGCUAGAAUCCUAAUGGUGAUCCCUGAAUCGGGACACUUGACAGUUUCAGGUGGGCAGUUUUUCUGGGGCGGAAGCCUCCUAAAAGGUAACGGAGGCGCGCAAAGGUUCCCUCAGUCUGGACGGAAAUCAGACUCAGAGUGUAAAGGCAAAAGGGAGCUUGACUGCAAGACCUACAAGUCGAGCAGGAGCGAAAGCUGGCCUUAGUGAUCCGACGGUGCCGUGUGGAAGGGCCGUCGCUCAACGAAUAAAAGUUA